rnacentral:rRNA from 1 species
GACGAACGCUGGCGGCGUGCUUAACACAUGCAAGUCGUACGGUAAGGCCCUUUCGGGGGUACCCGAGUGGCGAACGGGUGAGUAACACGUGCGUAACCUGCCCACAACUUUGGGAUAACGCUAGGAAACUGGUGCUAAUACUGGAUAUGUGCUCCUGCUGCAUGGUGGGGGUUGGAAAGCUCCGGCGGUUGUGGAUGGACUCGCGGCCUAUCAGCUUGUUGGUGGGGUAGUGGCCUACCAAGGCGGCUGCGGGUCGCCGGCCUGUGAGGGUGACCGGCGACAUUGGGACUGAGAUACGGCCCAGACUCCUACGGGAGGCAGCAGGGGGGAAUAGUGAACAAUGGGCGCAAGCCUGAUGCAGCAACGCGGCGUGCGGGAUGACGGCCUUCGGGUUGUAAACCGUAUUCAGCAGGGACGAAGCUUGUUGUGACGGUACCUGCAGAAGAAGCACCGGCUAACUACGGG